GGGACGAACGCUGGCGGCGUGCUUAACACAUGCAAGUCGAGCGGAAAGGCCUUUCGGGGUACUCGAGCGGCGAACGGGUGAGUAACACGUGAGUAAUCUGCCCAUCGCUUCAGGAUAGCCAUCGGAAACGGUGAUUAAUACUGGAUAUGACAUUCCUUCGCAUGUUGGGGUGUGGAAAGGUUUUUCGGCGGUGGAUGUGCUCGCGGCCUAUCAGCUUGUUGGUGGGGUAAUGGCCUACCAAGGCUUUGACGGGUAGCCGGCCUGAGAGGGUGACCGGCCACGACUGGGACUGAGACACGGCCCAGACUCCUACGGGAGCAGCAGUAGGGAAUAUUGGACAAGUGGG
rnacentral:rRNA from 1 species